GACGAACGCUGGCGGCAUGCCUAACACAUGCAAGUCGAGCGGAGGGGGGACGGGUGAGUAACACGUGGGUAACCGCCCAUAAGAGGGGAGACCCUUUGGAAACAGGCGCUAAACCGAUACUGAUGGAUGAAACCGGAGUGCAUUAGCUAGUUGGUGGGGGAACGGCUCACCAAGGCGACGAUGCAUAGCCGUCCUGAGAGGAGGAUCAGCCACACUGGAACUGAGACACGGCCCAGACUCCUACGGGAGGCAGCAGUAGGGAAGCUUCGACAAUGGGCGAAAGUCUGACCGAGCAACGCCGCGUGAGUGAAGAAGGCCUUCGGGUUGUAAAGUACUUUCAGCGGGGAGGCGUUACCCGCAGAAGAAGCACCGGCUAACUCCGUGCCAGCAGCCGCGGUAAUAC
rnacentral:rRNA from 1 species